rnacentral:lncRNA from 1 species
CUUUCGCGUCUGCGGUGCCCGGAGUGUGGUACUUCUCCUAGUUGCAGUCAGGCUUCAUACGCUAUUGUCCUGCCCGUUAGAGCAGCCAGCGGGUACAGAAUGGAUUUUGGAAGAGGGAGUCACCACUGGACCUCCAAGGAAGCCACGUGCAGACAUCUACAACCUUCGAUCUCCUGACGAGUUUAUUGUUGGCCAAAACCAGGCUUUGAUUGAACCAGGAUGAAUGCGGGUGUUGGAAGUAGAAUAUAUAUAUACAUAUAAAAUUGGUUGGGAGCCACGUGUACCAGUGUGUGUUGAUCUUGGCUUGAUUCAGUCUGCCUUGUAACAGAUACAGGGUAUGAUACAGCAUCCUACAAGAAUGAGCAAACCUAUUCUGAUGGCAGGAGAUUGAGGACAAACUGGCGAUGGAAUAUGAGAGGAGCCCUCUGGAAAGAAAAGGACAGACCCUGUGCUUUCAUGAAAGUGAAGAUCUGGCUGAACCAGUUCCACAAGGUUACUGUAUACAUAGCCUGAGUUUAAAAGGCUGUGCCCACUUCAAGAAUGUCAUUGUUAGACUUUGAAAUUUCUAACUGCCUACCUGCAUAAAGAAAAUAAAAUCUUUUAAAUCAAAA